CUACGGAGGGUGCAAGCGUUAAUCGGAAUUACUGGGCGUAAAGAGUACGUAGGUGGUUUGUUAAGUCAGAUGUGAAAGCCCCGGGCUCAACCUGGGAACUGCAUUUGAAACUGGCAAACUAGAGUAUGGUAGAGGGGGGUAGAAUUUCUAGUGUAGCGGUGAAAUGCGUAGAUAUUAGAAGGAAUACCAGUGGCGAAGGCGGCCCCCUGGACCAAUACUGACACUGAGGUACGAAAGCGUGGGUAGCGAACAGGAUUAGAAACCCCAGUAGUCC
rnacentral:rRNA from 1 species